CCAAAUGUCUAUUUUACGUGCAAAUUGAAAGUUCCAAUCCUCUGUCGCUGAAAUCUCAAAGUGCAAGCUUCGCCGUUGCCGAAGUCGUUCCCGUGCGCCACCGUCGCUGAAGGUCUCCCGUCAACCAGCGCCGUCGCCAUCCUUUCCUUUCGUCGCGGAAGGUCUCCCAUCGUCGUCGCUGAUCCUCUCCCGUGGCUAUCAAGUCUGAUCUUCUCCCUACCUAAGAAAAAUUUAAAGUACAAAUCCUCUGACGCUUGAGGAAUUAUAGAAACAUAGAGGCAGGAAAGCCCAUUAAUCAGGCUGGUGGAAAGAAAGCUCUUGAUGUCUCUGUUGAUUCAAGAUUGCUGAUUCAAGAACGGAACCUGAAGGGUGCAGUUUCCGGGAAGGCGAAGAAAUGUGAAAAGAAAGGCCUUGAUGUCUCUAUCAAUGGGCAUUCUGAGAAAUCUGUCACCGCUAGAAGGAAGGCCCUUUCUGACAUUUCAAAGUCCGUGGUUGAGCCGCCUCCUCUUGACUUUGAUGUCUUUGAGGAAAUAGGAAUGCAGCACGACCAUUCCUUGUGUAUUUCCCCUUUGAGUGAAGCUGAACUGCUUAGUGAGGAGUCUGAAAGCCCUCAUAUAGAAGUAGAGGAGGAGGAGGAGUAUUACGGCCUACAGGAGGUGACUGAGCCGGAGAUUUAUAUUAGGCGCUAGCGGCCUCUUACUCACUAUUGGUGUAUUGCUCCAAUAACAUGCUGAAUACCCGCCUCUCUCUUUCUUUCUUUCUUUCUUUCUUUAGUUGAUUAGUUAAUACCGACCAAUUAAAAUAAACAAAUACCAUGUUUGCCUCAAAAAAUUAAAUAC